rnacentral:rRNA from 1 species
GACGAACGCUGGCGGCGUGCUUAACACAUGCAAGUCGAACGAUGAUGCUGGAGCUUGCUCCAGUUGAUUAGUGGCGAACGGGUGAGUAACACGUGAGCAAUCUGCCCUUGACUCUGGGAUAACUGCGGGAAACUGUAGCUAAUACCGGAUACUUUCACCGGGGGGCAUCCUCUGGUGAUGAAAGAAUUUCGGUCAAGGAUGAGCUCGCGGCCUAUCGGCUUGUUGGUGAGGUAACGGCUCACCAAGGCGACGACGGGUAACCGGCCUGAGAGGGUGACCGGUGACACUGGGACUGAGGCCCGGCCCAGACUCCUACGGGAGGCAGCAGUGGGGAAUAUUGCACAAUGGGCGCAAGCCUGAUGCAGCAACGCCGCGUGAGGGAUGAAGGCCUUCGGGUUGUAAACCUCUUUUAGCAGGGAAGAAGCGAAAGUGACGGUACCUGCAGAAAAAGCACCGGCUAACUACGUGCCAGCAGCCGCCGUAA